rnacentral:rRNA from 1 species
GGAUUAGAUACCCUGGUAGUCCACGCCGUAAACGAUGGGUACUAGGUGUCCGGGAUGUUCGACCAUUCUGGGUACCGCAGCUAACGCAGUAAGUACCCCGCCUGGGAAGUACGGUCGCAAGACUAAAACUCAAAGGAAUUGACGGGGGCCCGCACAAGCGGUGGAGCAUGUGGUUUAAUUCGAUGCUACGCGAAAAACCUUACCAACCCUUGAAAUGAUAGAUCGCGCUUUCCAGAGAUGGAUCGCUUCAGUUCGGCUGGAUCUAUCACAGGUGUUGCAUGGCUGUCGUCAGCUCGUGCCG